GACGAACGCUGGCGGCGUGCCUAAUACAUGCAAGUCGAACGCAGUGGGGACGGGUGAGUAACACGUGGGUAACCUCCCAUCAGAGGGGAUAACACUUGGAAAAAGGUGCUAAACCGAUACUGAUGGAUGGACCAUCGGUGCAUUAGCUAGUUGGUGAGGUAACGGCUCACCAAGGCCACGAUGCAUAGCGGACCGGAGAGAGUAAUCGGCCACAGUGGGAAUGAGAAACGGCCCAGACGCCAACGGGAGGAAGCAGUAGGGAAUCUUCGGCAAUGGGCGAAAGUCUGACCGACCAACGACGAGUGAGUGAAGAAGGUUUUCGGAGCGUAAAACUCUGUUGUUAGUGAAGCGGUAUCUAACCAGAAAGCCACGGCUAACUACGUGCCAGCAGCGGCGGUAAUUC
rnacentral:rRNA from 1 species